UUACACAUGCAAGUCGAACGGCAGCACGGGAGCAAUCCUGGUGGCGAGUGGCGAACGGGUGAGUAAUAUAUCGGAACGUGCCCAGUCGUGGGGGAUAACGCAGCGAAAGCUGUGCUAAUACCGCAUACGAUCUACGGAUGAAAGCGGGGGAUCGCAAGACCUCGCGCGAUUGGAGCGGCCGAUAUCAGAUUAGGUUGUUGGUGGGGUAAAAGCCCACCAAGCCGACGAUCUGUAGCUGGUCUGAGAGGACGACCAGCCACACUGGAACUGAGACACGGUCCAGACUCCUACGGGAGGCAGCAGUGGGGAAUUUUGGACAAUGGGCGCAAGCCUGAUCCAGCAAUGCCGCGUGCAGGAUGAAGGCCUUCGGGUUGUAAACUGCUUUUGUACGGAACGAAACGGUCUGCUCUAAUACAGCGGGCUAAUGACGGUACCGUAAGAAUAAGCACCGGCUAACUACGUGCCAGCAGCCGCGGUAAUACGUAGGGUGCGAGCGUUAAUCGGAAUUACUGGGCGUAAAGCGUGCGCAGGCGGUUAUAUAAGACAGAUGUGAAAUCCCCGGGCUCAACCUGGGACCUGCAUUUGUGACUGUAUAGCUAGAGUGCGGCAGAGGGGGAUGGAAUUCCGCGUGUAGCAGUGAAAUGCGUAGAUAUGCGGAGGAACACCGAUGGCGAAGGCAAUCCCC
rnacentral:rRNA from 1 species